AGGAAAUAGAUACCCUGGUAGUCCACGCUGUAAACGAUGGGUACUAGAUUUGGUGGGUCUUGACCCCCGCCGAAAUCGGCGCUAAACGCACUAAGUACCCCGCCUGGGAAGUACGGUCGCAAGACUAAAACUCAAAGGAAUUGACGGGGCCCGCACAAGCGGUGGAUCAUGUGGUUUAAUUCGAAGCAACGCGAAAAACCUUACCUGGAUUUGACAUCCCCUGACAGCCGUAGAGAUACGGUUUCGGUAGCAAUACCGCAGGGAGACAGGUGCUGCAUGGCUGUCGUCAGCUCGUGUGGUGACAUGUUGGGUUAAGUCCCGCAACGAGCGCAACCCCUGUCCUUAGUUGCCAGCAUUUAGUUGGGCACUCUAGGGAGACUGCCGUGGUUAACACGGAGGAAGGUGGGGAUGACGUCAAGUCCUCAUGGCCUUUAUAUCCAGGGCGACACACGUGAUACAAUGGACGGUACAGAGGGAUGCCAAGUGGCAACACGGAGCUAAUCUCAAAAAGCCGUUCUCAGUUCGGAUUGGAGUCUGCAACUCGACUCC
rnacentral:rRNA from 1 species